rnacentral:rRNA from 1 species
ACGGGUGAGUAACACGUGGGAAACUACCCUUUGGUGCGGAAUAACACAGAGAAAUUUGUGCUAAUACCGCAUGAGCUCUUCGGAGGAAAGAUUUAUCGCCAAAGGAUGUGCCCGCGUCCGAUUAGCUAGUUGGUGAGGUAAUGGCUCACCAAGGCGACGAUCGGUAGCUGGUCUGAGAGGAUGAUCAGCCACACUGGGACUGAGACACGGCCCAGACUCCUACGGGAGGCAGCAGUGGGGAAUAUUGGACAAUGGGCGCAAGCCUGAUCCAGCCAUGCCGCGUGAGUGAUGAAGGCCUUAGGGUUGUAAAGCUCUUUCGCCCGCGAGGAUAAUGACGGUAGCGGGAUAAGAAGCCCCGGCUAACUUCGUGCCAGCAGCCGCGGUAAUACGAAGGGGGCUAGCGUUGUUCGGAAUCACUGGGCGUAAAGCGCACGUAGGCGGACUUUUAAGUCAGAGGUGAGAGCCUGGAGCUCAACUUCAGAACUGCCUUUGAUACUGGAAGUCUUGAGUCCGGUAGAGGUGAGUGGAACUGCUAGU